rnacentral:rRNA from 1 species
CCGCUUGCGGUGUGGAUUAGUGGCGAACGGGUGAGUAACACGUGAGUAACCUGCCCUUGACUCUGGGAUAAGCCUGGGAAACUGGGUCUAAUACCGGAUAUGACCUUUCACCGCAUGGUGGGGGGUGGAAAGCUUUUGUGGUUUUGGAUGGACUCGCGGCCUAUCAGCUUGUUGGUGGGGUAAUGGCCUACCAAGGCGAUGACGGGUAGCCGGCCUGAGAGGGUGACCGGCCACACUGGGACUGAGACACGGCCCAGACUCCUACGGGAGGCAGCAGUGGGGAAUAUUGCACAAUGGGCGCAAGCCUGAUGCAGCGACGCCGCGUGAGGGAUGACGGCCUUCGGGUUGUAAACCUCUUUCAGUAGGGAAGAAGCUUUCGGGUGACGGUACCUGCAGAAGAAGCGCCGGCUAACUACGUGCCAGCAGCCGCGGUAAUACGUAGGGCGCAAGCGUUAUCCGGAAUUAUUGGGCGUAAAGAGCUCGUAGGCGGUUUGUCGCGUCUGCUGUGAAAGACCGGGGCUCAACUCCGGUUCUGCAGUGGGUACGGGCAGACUAGAGUGAUGUAGGGGAGACUGGAAUUCCUGGUGUAGCGGUGAAAUGCGCAGAUAUCAGGAGGAACACCGAUGGCGAAGGCAGGUCUCUGGGCAUUAACUGACGCUGAGGAGCGAAAGCAUGGGGAGCGAACAGGAUUAGAUACCCUGGUAGUCCAUGCCGUAAACG